rnacentral:rRNA from 1 species
UACAGAGGUCCCGAGCGUUGUUCGGAUUUACUGGGCGUAAAGGGUGCGUAGGUGGUCGUAAAAGUCUGAUGUGAAAUCUCCGAGCUUAACUCGGAAAUGGCAUUGGAUACUGUAUGACUGGAGGGUUGGAGGGGAGACUGGAAUUCUCGGUGUAGCAGUGAAAUGCGUAGAUAUCGAGAGGAACACCAGUGGCGAAGGCGAGUCUCUGGACAACUCCUGACACUGAGGCACGAAAGCUAGGGGAGCAAACGGG